CCAAUUUUUUGUCCCUUAGUGUGUAACCUGUUUUUCAAGAUCAGCAACUUGAGUUGCGAAACAAACUUUGACAGUUCGUGCCUUCAUCGUGCUUGGUGUUCGAAUUUUGGAUAUUAUUUAGUAAAAAAUCGAUACGAGUACAUUGAAAAGACGGUGAAAUUAUCUUAAUAUAGACAUCGAAGUAAAUAGAAUGGUGCGUUGUCGUGUUAUUACAUGUAUAAGCGAUAGUGAGAAUAAAAUUGCCGGUGUGUCUUUUCACGCAUGAUCCAGACCUACGUAAUUAAUGGAUCGAAGUGGUAGAAAAGAUUGGAUUCUCACAAAAUAUUGUAAAAUAUGAACAAGCCAAUGAAAAAGUAAGAAAUGUGUUUCGUCAUCAAUAAUCAAUCUGCUUAUAUUUUUUGUAUCUACUAAAUUGAUUAUAAAGACAAAAGAAAAAUCUCA